rnacentral:tRNA from 1 species
GGAGCUGUGGCUCAGUGGGAGAGUAUCUGCUUGGCAUGCAGAAAGUUCCAGGUUCAAUUCCCUGCAUCUCCA